rnacentral:rRNA from 1 species
UACGUAGGGGGCAAGCGUUAUCCGGAAUUACUGGGUGUAAAGGGUGCGUAGGCGGUAAUGUAAGUCAGAUGUGAAAGCCCGAAGCUCAACUUCGGGACUGCAUUUGAAACUACAUAACUAGAGUACAGGAGAGGAAAGUGGAAUUCCUAGUGUAGCAGUGAAAUGCGUAGAUAUUAGGAGGGACACCAGUGGCGAAGGCGACUUUCUGGACUGUAACUGACGCUGAGGCACGAAAGCGUGGGGAGCAAACAGG